ensembl:lncRNA novel transcript
AAGCAAUUCUCCUGCCUCAGCCUCUCGAGUAGCUGGGAUUACUGGUAUGCACCACCAUGCCCAGCUAAUUUUUGUAUUUUUAGUAGAGAUGGGGUUUCACCAUGUUGGCCAGGCUGGUCUCGGACUGCUGACCUCAGGUAAUCCUCCUGCCUUGACCUCCCAAAGUGCUGGGAUUACAGGUGUGAGCCACCACGCCUGGCCUCGACCCCCUUUUAUGCUAGCCUCAGCUGACCAUCCUGCUCACUAGUACACUGUGGGUCAUAGGGGGCCAAAAACAUGAGGCUGGUAACAUUCCAUCCCUGUUAUUCAUAGAUGAUAUUUAAGUUAAUGGUUGUUUUUUUAUUGAAUACAUUUCAAUGCCAGGUAUUAGAUGGUAUUAUCCCCAUGUUGGAGAUUAGGAAACUAAAGUGCAGAGAGUUUGAAUAACAUGCCCGAGACUAUAAAGCAAGAAUUGGAAGCCUGUUCUCCCUGUCUCUAAAGUCUUCUACUUUUGUGUUAUUGAAAGACCAACUUAGUGAUGGGGCACUUGUUUGCAAAGAUGUGUAAGUGAGACAGUCACUG